rnacentral:rRNA from 1 species
GUGCCAGCAGCCGCGGUAAUACGAAGGGGGCUAGCGUUGUUCGGAAUUACUGGGCGUAAAGCGCGCGUAGGCGGUGAUCCAUGUCAGAGGUGAAAGCCCGGAGCUCAACUCCGGAACUGCCUUUGAAACGGGAUCGCUAGAGUCCGAGAGAGGAUGGCGGAAUUCCUAGUGUAGAGGUGAAAUUCGUAGAUAUUAGGAAGAACACCGGUGGCGAAGGCGGCCAUCUGGCUCGGUACUGACGCUCAGGCGCGAAAGCGUGGGGAUCAAACAGGAUUAGAAACCCGCGUAGUCC